UAGUCCACGCCGUAAACGAUGAGUGCUAGCCGUUGGGACUUUAGUCUCAGUGGCAACGCUAACGCAUUAAGCACUCCGCCUGGGGAGUACGGUCGCAAGAUUAAAACUCAAAGGAAUUGACGGGGACCCGCACAAGCGGUGGAGCAUGUGGUUUAAUUCGAGGCAACGCGAAGAACCUUACCAGGCCUUGACAUGCCUCUCGCGGAUUUCAGAGAUGGAAUCCUUCAGUUCGGCUGGAGAGUGCACAGGUGCUGCAUGGCUGUCGUCAGCUCGUGUCGUGAGAUGUUGGGUUAAGUCCCGCAACGAGCGCAACCCUCAUCCUUAGUUGCUACCAUUUAGUUGGGCACUCUAAGGAAACUGCCGGUGAUAAGCCGGAGGAAGGUGGGGAUGACGUCAAGUCCUCAUGGCCCUUACAAGCUGGGCUACACACGUGCUACAAUGGCGAUGACAGUGAGCAGCUAACCCGCGAGGGCAAGCUAAUCUCU
rnacentral:rRNA from 1 species